rnacentral:pre_miRNA from 1 species
CACAUGCUCAUUGACUAAUGACGUAUGAUUGACAACUCGUUAGCCAAUGAGCAUGCGUU